rnacentral:rRNA from 1 species
UACGUAGGGUGCGAGCGUUGUCCGGAAUUAUUGGGCGUAAAGAGCUUGUAGGCGGUUUGUCGCGUCUGCUGUGAAAAUCCGGGGCUCAACCCCGGACUUGCAGUGGGUACGGGCAGACUGGAGUGUGGUAGGGGAGACUGGAAUUCCUGGUGUAGCGGUGGAAUGCGCAGAUAUCAGGAGGAACACCGAUGGCGAAGGCAGGUCUCUGGGCCACUACUGACGCUGAGGCGCGAAAGCCAGGGGAGCAAACGGG